rnacentral:lncRNA from 1 species
GGGGACAAAAAAAAAGAAGAGAGAGGUUGCUGUGGUUGUCGGGCCGGGUUGGGGUUUCUCAUGACAAAAGUUCUGCGCCGAGGGCGGCCGGGGAGCGCGCGCCCUUCGCGGCCGGCAGGUGAGGUGGCGGGGGAAGCGGGCGGCGUUUGUAGGGCGGAGAAGGGACGGGGGCAGUUCUGUGUGGCGCCUCGCGAGACGGGAGCUUGGGGGGGGGGGCGGUUGUCGGUGCCCUGGGGUAUCUGCCGAGGCCUGUCCGCCUCCGGGGUGCCCUGUGGCCGCUGCUCCGGGUCAGCUGCAGCUGAGCUUGGCCCCGUUGCCCGGCUGCGUGCCUUGCCCGGUGACACCAGCAACCCCCUUUCCCCCUCCGAGGCUUGGGGGGAAGGAUGGAGGCACACGGCGCAGGACAGCUGGUGCUCGCUUGCCCCUUCCUCCCGUCCCCCACCCCUCUUGGAAGGAGGGGGGAAGAAAACAAAUAAGGAAAACCUGCGUCUUAGCUUUUCCUUCCCUCCAGCCCAGUCCUAGGUUAUGCUGCUCCCUCAGCAACUCGCCCCCAACAACAAACCCCCGUUAUCCAAAAUCCACCACCCCACCCACCAAAGCGAGUGGCGGAUCGGGCGUGCUUGUAGCAUGCUGUGGAGGAUCGGGCCCCAUGGCGUUGCAGGAUCCGUUGCUUCCUCUCCUUGGUUGCUUGCCCUCUUCCCUCUACAUUGGAAGUAGAGAGGGUGAGGAUUGGACUUGCUGGGCCCAGUCCCCUUUGCCUAGUGUGUCCCCCAAGGGAGUGGCAGCAGUAUCCCCUCCUCACCCUUUCCCCUUCCCACUCAGAGGCAGAUGGCAAAAGGGCCGUUGAUGCUGCUACCUUUCCCAGCAAAGUAGGGAAGUGAGAGGCAGUGGCGGGGACCGGCUGACGCUGCCUGUAGGGAGGUGCAAUGAUAAGGGGCUGGGCACACCACCCAGUCAAAGAGUGAAGGUAGCUGCUGUUGCCUUUGCCCACUCUCCUCUGUAGAUGGCACUGCGGAGAGAAGUUGAGCCAGCCGAGAUGCCCAGAGAAAAUAGUGGCUAUCCUGGCAGGAGUUGCUUGCCUACUGUGUUGGGAAGGAGGAGGCUCUGCAACACUUUCUGAGCUAUCACCUCAACCCUCUUACACUCUCUAGGGGGUGCAGUACUGUAGGUUUUACCCAGUCCUCACUACUUGGGAACCCAGAAUGGUUAAAGUCAGCUGGCUCUGCAUGGAAUAGUUGCCUUAUCCUCUCUCUCUGGGUGGCACGUCAAUGGGAAUUGGGGCCAGGGACUCCAAUCCUUAUUCUCCCUACUGCGGUGACAAGAGGGACAAUGAGAAAAGAACAAACAAGCUGAGGGGGGCAGCAUCUCCCCCCCCCCCCCGUGGCACCAUGAAGACCAGUCCUUCCUAGCAUGCUGCCCAGAGAGAGCAACCAUGAUUUGCUACCUCUGCCCAGCUGGUUAUCCUCUUUUUAGUAGUGUAGUGGGCUGCAUUGCUUUGAUGGGGUCUUGAGAAGGAUGAAGGAAAGUGGAAGCAUGUGCUGGCAAACAGUCAUACUACUAAGCCACAGAGGAGAAAAACCCCAAAGUACAGCUGUCAACAAAAGUGAUAGAAAGAGACAGAAUAGUAGAUUUGUGCUUCACUCUGUUCUUAUCCUGAUAUAGUUUUAUCUCAGCCUGAUAUUCAAGAUAAAUUUAGAGUACUGAGUGGAUUAAAUAAAAUACAUUCCUCAUUAUGAUAUUUGAUUCUAAAUAACUUUUUUAUGGAAAGAGAUGUUUUAAAAGUACAUUAGUUAUUGCCCUUUAUUAUUUGACAGUUGGAAUAGUGAUAAAGGUAUCCUUGCUAAAGUUCUUCAGGGAUAGCUCUGCCGGUAGAUCAUGAGACUCUUAAUCUCAGUGUUGUGGGUUUGAGCCCCAUGUUGGGUGAAAGACUCCUGCAUUGCAGGGGGUUGGAUUAGAUGACCCUUGUGGUCCCUUCCAACUCUGCAAUUCUGUGAUGUUAAAAAGGUUUUGAAGAAAAUGCUGUCGUCUUUGAUAGUUGCUGCUUUCUGAAAUUUAUUAAAGUAAAAGGUUCAUAUUUGUCAUGGUGUAGAGUCUUUCAAAAUGCACUGGUUUGCUUCUGGUUUUGGUGCCUAUCUUGUGAAAAAUCCCUAAACCAAAGAUGGUGAAGCUCCCAUCUGUGGGCCAAACUGGGCCCAGCACAGAGUCCCAGACCCAGUUUGGUCCUUGAGGACACCUCCAAACCACCCACACCUGGCCUAUAUGUGACAUUAGGUGUUGGGCUGGUACAGACAUGCCUUCAAAUGAACAUUGGGGAGCUUAACCUGUAAACUCCUGAUUACUCCUUUGCUUGGAGCAAAGGGCUCUCCCAUUACCCAUAAUGACAUCAUGGGAUUGGCAAGUGGGUUGUCCUGUUAAAUCUGUCAAAGUUGGCCUGCAGGUUGGCGAAAAAUGUUCCCCAUGAUGCUUGGAGGUGUUUGUUCAGAUUUACAAUGUGUCCAUGAUACUUAUCUGUUACAUGCAUGCAAAAUUAGCAUGGGGAGGAAGCUAUAAGGCAGACUGGACAGCAAUGUGAUAAUGCUAGCCUUAGCACAGCAUCAAACAGUCCCCCAAAGCAACAGCAGACUUCUGAUACUAUUUCUUACCAGACAGCUGCAAGGACUCAACUUCCUCUUUUCCUGGAUAUAUUUAAACUACUACAGUCAUACCUUGUGUUGUGUUAGGUUCAUCUUGCGUCUUUUUGGCUUGCGAACGUGGCAAACCUGGAAGUGUAUACUUCCGAGUUUUGCCACACACGCACAUGCAGAAGCGCUCUAUUGCGCUCCGCGCUUGCACAGAAACGCCGCUCUAGUUGCAGACUUUUUGGGGUGUGAACGACACCCAGGAACGGAUUGUGUCCACAACUAGAGGUACCACUGUAUACCUAACUUUUCGGUUCCCACACAGGAACAUGGGAUGUGAUGCAAACAUUCUAGUGGCUUUGUGGUAGCCACCAGCCAUCAAAAGAAAUUGAGCAAAUACCUUAAAAGUUAUUUAGCUACACAAGAGCUGGACGGGAGGAUCUGUGGGCCUUCCAAAUCAACCCCAUCCAGCAUGGUCAGUGAUCAAAGAUAGUGGGAGUUAUAGUCCAACAGUGUUUGGUAGACUAACAAGUUUUCCACUCCUGGCCUAGUAAGAAGGUCAUUCUCAAGCUUUGCAUGACAGAAAAUACCACUAACAGGAACCAUAUUUUGAAUUGAGCAAUGAAGGGCCAGCGUCAUUGUCUGAAACUUAUCACAAGGGAGUGAGUCAGUGGACAAGGUCAAAAGGUUCUUUAACUUCUUUCUCCCCAGCAUCAACAGUGAAUGCUCAAAACCUCUCCUUAAUAUGCACCUUAGCUCAUUCUGUCCAUGAGCUAAGACAAUGGAAAACAACAUUGAGCACUGAGGGAUAGAAAACACAUAUAAACUUUGGUUUUGUUCACAAUUUGGGAGGUGUAGGGCAAGGGUCCUUGUUUUCUCUCUUGUGAUAAGAGGGGACCCAUACUUUAUGUUUACUUCUAGGUAUUUUUAUAUUUCUUUUGUCUCUCUAAGGAACUGAGAACAUACUUCUCUCCUCUCCUGUUCUAUCCUAAUAACAAUCCUGUGAGACAGCUGAAACUUAGAGAGUUGUGUGAGUAGAGUUCAGAGCUAACAAGUGAGCCUCAUUGAUGAACAGGGAAUUGAGGCCACGGUUCCUAGGUCUUAUUCUGACACCCGAUUAUUACCUGCUGCACCACACUUGAAAUGUUCCCUCAGCCUCCUCUCCUCGCCCCUCUCCUUGGAAGUCCUCUGGGCUGCCGCAGCUGCUGCCCCUAGUCUCUGAGCUGCCCCUCUGCCCCAAAGAGAGGUGCCUCCUCACACUGCCCUACAGGGGCCUGGGAAGCACCUCCUGGCCAGCCUCAGAGUCACCUCGGGAGCUUGUAGCUGCUGCAACGAACAAUCACACAUGCCUUUGGGAGGCAUAGACGUAAGAGGGAAUCAGAGGAGGGAAUAAAGGAAAGAGGGACAGAGGCCAUUGUUGCCCGUGGCACCCCCCCAACCAUCAUUCAAGGCACCCCAGGGUGCCAUGGCACACUGGUUGAAAACCACUGCCUUAAGAGCUCUUCAGCACUACAACUAGAUCCUUAAUAAGCGUCCAUCUAAGUGCACAAGAAAAGCGUAGCUAUGUAGCCAGAAUAUGACUUUCUGGGCUUAGGAUGGGGGAGUUUGUGGGCCUCCAGAUGUUGUUGGACUCCAUCUACCAUCAGCCACAACCAGUGUGGUUGUUGAUGAUGCAAAAUGUAAUCCAAGAAGAUCUGGAGGGCCACAGGUUCCUCAUCCCUCUGUGUGUUUAUCUCUCUCUGUUUAUCUAAAGCAAAUCCUAAAGCUCUGUUUACUUGUUUGGAAUGAAGCCCAGUUCAGUACAUUUUUCUUCACACGUGCUUCAAAUUGCAACCUUUUUUUUUGGUGCCGUUUAUGCAUGGAGUUGAAAUGUGUUUUGCUCUCUUGCAGUUUCUUUCCACUUGGGACUUCCUUCAUGCUGACAUGGUAACGACAGGUUGGCUUUCACCAACAGGUGAACGGAGAAAUUUGGUCAAAAGAGGUAACCUGCUCUUAAAAUCUCAGUUUGGGGGUUCUAGGUAUAUUUGAUUAUAUAUUGGAUUAUACUCUGGAAAGUCCUAGCAAUGGAUGUGGGGGUUGUUUUCAGAUUCUGUUGGUUUCAUAUUCUGCAUGUGAUAAUAGUACUUCUUAUUGUUUGAACAGCUGACAAAUAUAAAUGAACACGAUAUCUCUCAGUGUAAUCUGUGAAAUACAGUAAUAAACGAGAGAAUGUAUAUUAACCUUCUGUUUUAAUCUGUGCUUUAGAGUAUUAUGGAGUUAGAGUGUGAGUUGGAGUUGUGGGUAGCAUGCUGCUAAAUUCUACUCAUGUUUGGUAGUUUAUUCUCUGUAUCUUACAGCACUCCCUCUGUGAAAAAGAAGAAUUAUUAGCAUUUAAAUGAGUGCAUGUUAGAUACUGAUGCUUUCCUGUGUUUUUGUAAAAUACUGUCAGUCCCUGAAAUUGUUCCAAAUCCUGUUCAUUAAAUGAUAUGGGUGGUAAUUAACUAAGUUUCGCUCAGAGUAGACCCAUUGAAAUUAAUGAACAUGACUGUAUAAAGUCAGCUAAUUUUAAUGGGUCUACUUUCAUUGAAACCUAGUUGAAUACCUUUCUGUGCAAUUCUGCUGCAUGAAAAGGAUUCACAUAUAGUUUGUAAAUACUGUCACUGCCUAUCUUUGGAAGGCUUAGCUGACUGAUUCACAAGCCUAGUUACCUUGUUUAAGACAAGGCUGUUGUUUCUUAGUACCAGGUAUAAGUUAUGUAUUUCCCUGGCUUUACCAGGUUUGAUAUAAUGCACAACUCCACCCUCUGUGUAGCCUUUUAGAAAUGUGGACAGAAAAUUAUAGUGGUUUUGUUUGUGCUCUUCUGCAAACUCAUCUGUUCAUAUUUAAGGCAUUCCCACACUGCCAGUUCAGUAAAGCUAAAGGUUGUAAAUUAAUGUUUGAGCAAAUGGAGGAGCCACUAUGUUUCCUGGAAUUUUGUGCAAUGUGAUCUCCUUGUCUCGCCUAUGCUGACCCAGUGGUGUGCUGAAAGAACUAGCAUGGACCAUUGUCAUUGUUUUGUGGUAUAUGGAGAUUAGCUGGAAUGAAGUGGAGCAUCUGAAACCUAAAAGAAAUCCCAAGUAGCUUUCUGUUUAUUAUUGCCACCAUUAUUUAUUUGUAUGCCACUUUUCCAUGCUGAACCAUCCUCAAAAUGGCUCACAUCAAAAAGUUUAUGUAAGAUAAUUCACUAACAAUUACAAUACAUAACAAAAUUUAAAUAGUCAUAUAAACAACAGGCUAAUGAAAAAAAUCAUGUUAGCAAAUAUGCAUUAAAAUUAGUCCAUUGAUAAUUCAUAAUAAGGCCCAACAAUAAAAUACAAGAACAUAAUCUGGAUAACAGCAAAAAUGAUAUAAUGUAUAUCCAAAAUGGAAUCUUAAACUCACUCUUACAUUUACUUUAAUCUUUAACUUUAUGAUGGUAACAAAACUGUUUAUUGCAGAAGAUUUAUUUCUAUAAUUUAAUAUUGUCUUAAUCAUAUCACCAUUGUAUCUUCAUUGGACUUGUCAUAUUUUAUUAGAAGAAGGAAGAAUUAUUAUUUAUUAAGGGUAUUCAACCUGCCUUUCAUCCCAACAUCCUAGGGGCAGGGUACAAUAGAUUUCACUUCUAUAGUUGCUGUAAAAUGAAUGCAUCUGUAUUAGAACUAUAUUGAAACUGUUUUUAAUUUGUGGAAUUGUUUUUAACUUUUUCUAAAUAGAAGUGUUUUUACUUAUCUUGCUUUAUGUUUAUAACUUUUACUUGUUUUAUAAUUGUAUAUUUUUAUGGUUGUAAAGGGACUUUAUAGUAAAGGGCAGGUAGCAAAUAAAUAAACAGACGCCUUUUAAAUAUGAAUAUGUAGCUUGAUACUGAUUGCGAAAUGAUUGUUUAUUUUGUUGCUUUUGUAAAGAAAAUGCCAAACAUUUAGUGCCCUUUGUUACACUGUAAUCACAAGGCAGAUUCCUUCAAGAAGUGAUCCUCAUGAUAGAACAAGUUUUGUGCAUGGAUCACACCCUCUGUAAAAACAAAAGCCUGAAAUGGGGAUACAAAAUCCCUGUCAUACCACUGCAAGCACUUCCAGAGUAGGAACAGUGACCCUGCUGUUGCCUUUUUGCUGGGGAUGAAGAGUAAAAUCCAAAUAUUCCUAUUCACCAGUGGGCAACAGGAGGGGAGAAGAAUGAAUUUCUGAACUGGUUGAGAAGCAGUGAUAUUUAGUGUGCUUGGAUUGCUUUGUGUUUGGGAGAGUAACAAAAUGCUUUAAUAGAAAUUGCACCCUUUUACUCUUAAGGUGAAUUACCAGUUUUGAAAAUAUACUUGUGUUGCGACAAAUACACAGGAUUAAUUGUGAACGGCUCUUGUAAUGCAGGUUUCUUUUAAAGAUGCACAUGUAGUAUAGUUCACUCAGUGACAAGAGCAUAAGCAAUUUAGACGACAGAGGGCACUGUGCUGCCUAUUGUUUGUGCAUGCAGGUGGCAAGAUGUAGAGACCACUCAGUGCACUUAGUCCCAAGGCCAAAUGCAAGUGCUGCCUGCGAGAGGACGGCUUCCCUGUGCACUAAACAGUGUGUGACUGCAUUUCUUCUACACAUCAUGUGCUUCCACGAAGCAGCAAAUGGGAAGCCAUCUGCACCCUUCACACCCAGAAACUAACCCUGCAACCUGGCAGAUGCUCUGUGUGUUCAUGUUUAAAUUGUGUAUGGGGUGUGGUGGUGCUUAGAGUGUUGGACUAGGACCUAGGAGACCAGGGUUCAAAUCCCCACUCAGUCAUGAAGCUCAGUGUGUGAUCUUGGGCCACUCACUGUAUCUUAGCCUAACCUACACCCCAAGCUGGUUGUGGGGAUAAAAUGAUGAGGGUGGUUGGGGGAGCCAUGUAUGCCGCCUUGAACUCCUUGGAGACAAAGGUGGGAUAUAAAUGCAAUCGGUCAAUAAAAUAAACCAUUGUAGGUGAAGGAAUAUGGUUAGGAAGAUCCAUAUAAUUAUUGCUGGGCAGACUUACCAGUUUUGGCCAGGAAAAAGGAGUUGGCUAGAACAGCACAUUUGGAUCCACUAGCUUCUGCAAAAGCUGGGUGCAGGGUGGUCAGUGUGUGCCAGUUCAGCUACGUCUUGAAUCCUUUAUCUGCCUCAGUCUGAUGAGUCAAGGUGAUUUUGAAGAACUUUAGGAAUGGCAUGCAGGUUAGCACCUGCUUUAUCCAUCUCCAUGAGAAAAGGCAAGAUUGGGAAGUGUGUGUGUGUGUGUGUGUGUGUGUGUGUGUGUAAAAUAUGAGUUACAGUAGUGUGUGUGUUCAUGUGUUCUAGAUAUAUCAUGAGUUAGAAUGGUAUAACUCUUCUCAUUCCUACUGAGGGUAGGAUUAUUGUUUUUCUGGCAUGGAAAGAGAGACCUAGAGAGAGGUGGUUAAAAUUACUUGCUGGCAAUAUGUUUGAUACAAGAUUAUUUAAUGAUAUUGUGAAAUUAGAGAGAUUUUAGUGGUAAUUUGCCCUGUUGUCUUUUUUAAAAAUAAAAACCCCCAUCUUGAUUAGGGUGGCUAACCAGUGGCUUUACGGAUGUUUUGCACUACAGUUCCCAUCAGAUUCAGCCAGUAUGUCCAAUGCUUGGGGCUGAUACAAGUUGUAGUCCGAGCAUUUGGAGUCCUACACUUUGACCACCUCUGCCCUAGAUUAGUCAGUUGGUUAAAUAUUUUUGAUUCUCUAAUGAGGUGACAUUAAAAUUCUCUGUGUGUGUGUGUGUGUGUGUGUGUGUGUGUGUGUGUGAAGAUCUUGAAAGCAUUAGAUACUCAGAGCCUUGUAAUUAAGGUAUCUUUAAACAAUAAACAUCAGGAGGCUUUUCAGUGAAUAGUAGGUAUGGGAUGAAUGAUAAUUCUGGCUUGUGUUUGUGGUCAUCGGUCUGGUUCAGAAAACUACAUUCCCUUCUCAUUUCUAGUUGGUAGUCAUGGGAGAUUUACAAGUUCCAACACCCUGUUCAAAGAGGGAGAGUUCACUCUGAAACGUGCCUGCUUAUCUUCUCUGUAUUACCUACAUUUGGCAUAAUAGCAGGGAGUGGUGUAGUGACUGUGUCAUUUCCAUGGCAAAAGAACAGCUUCCGCCUGUUUUACUUUUCUGAUUUUUAUUUCAAAAGCUCCUUUCAGGAACUUUAUAAACAUGAAUGAAAAAGUGUGUAUGUUGGGGUGGGGAGCAAAACUGGUGUAUAUGCUCUGGGUCACUGUGGGUGGCCACUGCCUCAAUUCAAAAGAAGCCUCCUGCACCCUGAUCAUGACAUGGGUCUGAAUUACUGACUUGUAACACCACCAGUGAAUUUUCUGGGGACUCCCUGCUUCCCCUGGCUUCAUGUACAACCCUCUUCUAAAACUGUACUGAGAAAGGGCAAGGAAUUUGAGUGCAGUCAUGAAGCAGUAGCUGUGCUAUUUUCUUGGCCAGCAAUUCCAUAAACACUCUGAGCAGGUGGCAGAGGCAGAGGCGGAGCGAUAGAGAAGUACACAAAAGUCACAUGCUCCUUUCAGAUGCUGCAGGCAGUCUGCUGAAUUCUCCUGGCGGGUGAGUUGCUGUUUUUCAUGGUUUUAAUAUACUGCGGCCAGUGUGCAGGCAAGAGGAUGUUUAGGGUUCUGUAAUGUAGGGACAAUAUAUUGCUUGGAGUCAGUAAGACCUUAAUUUCUGUUUUCUUAGCAUUUGGAAAAGGAGACGCUGUGUUAGGGCGUACAGAGAUCUAGGCUGGAGACGUGUGAGUGGCCUCUGAUCUAUUCUCGGUUCUGUUUGUUUGAGCUGCAGGAUCAUGAAUAAGUGGUGUGAGUUUUGUUAUGAAAAUUCUCAUGGAAGGUAGUUCAACAUGCCACUGCCCUGAAUCUUUCAAAGCAACUGUGUUAAUUAAGCUCAGUAUAUCAGCAUCGGGUUUCUGCUGAGUCUGCUUUCAAUAGGCUCUGCCUUUGUUCAGAGACACAGAUCAGCUGUGUUCCAUCUCACCCGAAUGAAAUGAAACCCUGCAGUGUGAUUUUCUGAACUUUUUGGUGAGCAUGCAACAUUAGUAUAACAGUUUCUCACCGUAGCAGAUUAUAUUUGAGCACCUGGUAAUAAUAUGCUAUUAAAGUAAAGCAGUGGCAUUUCUCUUUCUAAGUAGCUGAACACUUAGAAUAUGGCCAUUUUAAUGUGGAAGAUGUUGUAGGAUUUUAGGUGUUGGCAAUGUACUGUCUUUCUUCUUUUAGAGACUGAGCAUUAAAAUCUAAAAUUGAAAAGCAGCGUAACAUUCCAAACAGACUCAGCAGGAAAUUGUUGUUCCCACAGAGCAAUUUCACAGGUCAAGUAGAGCUAUUAAGGUGAAAAUGCUGAUGAAACAUCAAUUAUGAUACUUAGAGAUAUUGCCAUUGUUGUGAAAACUGCUGUAUAGUGCAUACAGCAAAGUCAUCAAAAUAUUCAGUAGUAAACAGAUGCUGGGCACAAUUGAAAACUGAUUAUCUUUGAGGCUUUGGAGGUUUACAUUACGUUCUAUUUUUUUAAGCAAUGGGUGUUAUUCAACUGAGUUUUCCUCAGAGUAGAUCCACUGAAACAUGACUGAAUUGGGUCCAUUAAUUUCAAUAGAUCUACUCUGAUUUCACUAUUUAUUUUUUUUAAAGCCACCAUUCCUUGGAGAAGGACAUGGUAUAUAAAUUUACAAUAGUGAUGCAGUUACUUGCAACUGUUAUUCUUUUAAGUGUCUCUGUGUGCCAACCCAUAUAUAGGAUCUGUGCAUGUACAUGGCCCAUCUUUCAAAGAUGACUGUGACAUGUUCAUCCCUUCUGUUGACUAAAAUUUUUAGUACCCACCCAUCAACUCUAUUAAGGCAUUGGAGUAAGACUCACCCAUUCAGUUCCUCUUUAGUUGCCACAUACUAGAGAAAGUCCUAUCCUUUCUUUUCACAGCUGGAAUUUUGUUUGUAUCUGAAACAAAACAAUCUGCAAGAUAAAGCCCUUUUCUUUGGAGUUUCGCAGUCCUUUCCCAUCCUCUGAGAGGAUCAACAUUAUCAUUUCAGAAACACUGCCCUGGUGGUGUACAGUCUUUAAGAAACAUGCAGAGUGCAGGAACAGAUGCCCAAUCAAAUGGUCAGCAUCUGUGGUGAAUUUGGCUGGGCAAAGACCAUAUAACUGAGGCAUGCUAAAAGUCUACCAAAGAGAAAAGCAUCCAUUUGUCAAAGUUCAGAACUGCCCUCUCUGGAAAAGCCUUUGCUGCUCUUGAAAUGACUUCUCAAGGCCCUUAUAAAUAAUUUCUUACUUAAAACACCACCACCAAAACAUCUGGUAUUCUGAUCUGCAUUUCUUGGGGAAAUAGAAGGAUAUAAACCAUAACCAAUUAAUCUUAGACUUAUAGAGUUGGAAGGAACCCCAUGGGUCUUCUUGCUGUCUUCACUCUUAGUAUAACUAUAUCGCAGUCUGUUCCCACAUUCAUUACAUUUCUGAGUUGAGUAUAUGACCAUGGUCUUAUUUGUAUUUAUUGACAAAAAAGCUUCAGUCUGUUUUCCAUAUGUGGCCUUGAUGCUGGCAAGAGAGCUGACUGGGAAGAGAUGCUGCUCUUCAGAUGUACAGAUAGGGUUACACCCUGGCAGGAAAACUUUCUCAUGGGCCUUUUGUGUUGCUUUAAAAUAGGAAAUAAGAUACUAGCUUUCAGGAGUAACCAAACCUAUUUUUAACAGAUGCUUCCGAGUAGGGGCAUUUUAUAUCUUCCUAUAUACGAGAAAGUUUUUCACACUGCAAUUUGUGUGACUGCCAGUUGGCAACCACAUAAAUUGCAACACAACAACAGCGGGCAGAGUGAGUGACCAAAGCAGGCAGGUCAGUAGCAUGAGUAAACAGGCCUGCAGAGCAAGCAAGUGGGUAGGUGGGUGGCCCAGGUGGGCAUUCACAUGUCCCUCCUGUUGUUGUUGCAGCCACCCGCUGCCUCCUAGCUUGGUUUCAUGCGUGGACAAUGAGGGGAGACAAGCUGAAAGGGUGCUCCCCGUCAUUGUCGCCACUGCUGCUACAGGCUGACAACAUUCUCCCCUUAGUUCACUGCCACCAGAAAGAAGUGUCCAUUUAUAAAUGCACGCUUUCUUCUGCCAGUGAAAGUGGUGCGUGCUGAAAGAGGGGAAAGCUCUCUUCUCUUCAUGCCCCUCUUCUCUGUGAUUGACGGUGACAGCGGAUCUUGAGACUAGGGUGAAAUGUUGGAGGAGGCACGAGUUUUGGACAAACUGUGAGACAGAGAUUGGAAACCGGGUGGGUUGUGAUGGGUAUAUGGGGGUGUUGGGGUGAAGGAGCUGUAAGGGUGUUGGGGUGAUGGGAGUUGUCAAGACAGUGUGGGGUUUGGCAGGGUUGGUGAGCAAAUGAGAGUCCCAAGUGGUGAUAAAUGGCAUACUAAUACUGACGUUGAACAUUAAUAGGAGCAAAGCCUUUCUUUGUCUCCUCUACUGCCCCAUCCUCCCAGCAUCAUUUUUUAUUUGAUGUGUAAAUGUUUUUCCCAUAUAUAUAGUUGAAAAAUCUGAGAUUUCUGAAGACAAGUACAGGCUAGUGAGAUCCUGCCAUUUUUGCUGCCACUUCAUUCUGUGUUCGCUUUUAUGACAGGGGAAGUCGCUUUUCUUGGCAACUCUUUCUUAAUACCUUUUGACAAUCCAUCAAUUCCAACAUAUUUCUUGUUUUGGACUCAAAAACCAGUAACAGUGAUUGAUGUCUUUUUUGGGACAGGGAGGGGAGAAAAAAAUACACUGCCCUGAGAAAUGUGAGAGAGCUAUUAUGCCUUACUAAUCCCUGUGAAAAUCAUUAACAGAAUUGUCUCCUGUUGUUUGCUCAGUUUUUAAUCCUCACAGUGUUAUCUAAAGUAAUCUUACUUCUGAAGAGACAAGAUUUAUAGACCGCUCUGAUUGGAGGAGGUUUGGACCUGUCUUUUGUAAUACUGCAAUUAAAUGCUCCAGACUUGAGGGGUUUUUCAUCAAACCCACUUUGUUGCAUGAAGGAACUCCCCAAACCCCUUAUUACCAGAAGAGCAAUUUUUGAAUUGUUGGCUUGAAUAUGCAUUUCUUUAUUUUUUAUAUAUAGAUAUAUUUAAAGUAUUCACCAUCAAAAAAUUCCCCUAGAUGUAAGCAUGCUAAAAUUUCCACAGGAAAAAUCUCUAGAUUUCUAUAGAAAGCCUUUGUUCCUUCUUCAUGAAUGACUCAUAGAGAAGUUUCUACACAGAGCUUUGAACUUCCUUGUGAAAAAAAUACGUUCCUAUGGCAUUGUCUUGUUUUUCCUCUUUACUGAUGGAGUUUCUAGCAACUGCUCUGUAAAGUGUGGUCUAGAUUCUAAUCCUCACUUGUUUCGUUAUUCUGGAUUAGUUCUAAAUUCAUGCUUGUGAAAAAAUGGCCACUACAGUGGUAUCUCAGGUUACAUACGCUUCAGGUUACAGACUCCGCUAACCCAGAAAUAGUACCUCGGGUUAAGAACUUUGCUUCAGGAUGAGAACAGAAAUCGUGCUCUGGCGGCACAGCGGCAGUAGGAGGCCCCAUUAGCUAAAGUGGUGCUUCAGGUUUAGAACAGUUUCAGGUUAAGAACAGACCUCCGGAACAAAUUAAGUUCUUAACCUGAGGUACCACUGUAUUCUUAAAGUCUGACAAAUUAUUGUUGGAGGCACCUCUGCCUGAAGUUAACCUUUUCGAGAUUCUCUCCUUUCUUCACUCUGAAAUAAGUAGACAUAUACGACUCCUCACAUUUUCUGUAAUCUUAAAAUAUAAAGAUACAUCUUAGAUCAGCCAAGAAGGCCCUCUUGAUUGUUUGGAAGCAAGGUGUGCUUGGUGGCUGCAACAUUAAUUUGGAAAUUCUGUUAUUUUGAGAUUGAUCAAGCUUCAGCACUUUUGAGAAGCAUUGGGAAAUCACCCUUUUGGGGGUUGACUUCCAGUGGUUAGAUUUAAGAUUUUAAGAGGCAGGAAUUUUAAUAAGUGUUUUCAUCUUAUUUUAUUACCCAUGUUGUUGUUAAACUGGAACCUUUUCCAGGGAUAAGGGAACCUGCCAUGAUGCCCUUGGAACUUGCUCUGAAGCCUCUGGUUCUGAUCUCUUCAGGAGACUUUGUCCUUGGCAGAAUGGAUGGUACGGUAGAUUUUGUUAUGACUUAGCACUGCCUUGUUGGCCUUGGUGCCAUCGUUUGUUGGUGUACAAUGAUAUGACUCUUACUCUCUCAUAGGCAUAGUGUCUGAUAGUCUUAGUGUUGCAGGGCCAUCUGUUCAUCCGCAGGUGUUUUAGUUUUGCACACUGAAAAUGUAUUUGGGUGCCAGACAGGAAAGUGUUGAUAUGACUGGCAAAUGAGGUGAGAAAAUGCAACUCUGUAAAGUUAAUAGUUCCAGAUUUCUCACUGUUCAGUCAGCAAUCUCAAGGCAUCUGUAGAGGGGGCAAAAGGGUUGCUAAACACUUUUCCAGCUGUCUUGGAUGAGUGCAGCCUAGACUGCAAUGCUACCAGUACAAAGCUGAAUUGUUGGUGUGAGUGGCAGUUUCUCUCUGUGCCUAGGAAAACAGAGAAGGAGAGGAACCCACUAGCUUCUGGCUGGAAGUUCUUGAAAAAUAAAAUUAACUUAUAUGAAACUUCAGCAUAGGCUUUCGUUCAGAAUACAAAGCAUGGGCCACUUGCGAAAGAAAGUAAGGCUACAGUCUUAACCCAACUUACCUGAGCGUAAGCUUCAUUGAACUCAAUUGGACUUAUUUCUGAUUAGACAUGGUUAGACUUCUGCUGUAAAUCUGGGUUUAACAGCAUUGAACAGCUUUCCUCAGCCUGGUGUGCCCUCUAGUGAUUUGAAUUCACUCCCAUCAGCCCCUGUCAGCAUGACCAACAGUCAAGAAUGAAAGAAGUUGUAGUCUGAAGCUUUUGGAGGAUAACGGAUUGGAGAAGGGUGACUAAGAAGGUAAGGAAACAAGCAUUUAAGGCCGAAAUAAAUCAGAAUUUCCUGCUGCCUGUAAUGCCAUUUACAGGUUUUAUUCAAAAAGCAGCAAUUAUAUUGAGAAAAUAAUAAAUACAGUUUAAUAUAGCUUACAUAUCAUAAAUAUGCAAGAAUGCCAUCACCCUGAAGUUUGAUUGGGCACAGAUAGGUGGCUCUGUGAAUUAUAGUAUGAUGAAGGGAAGUGAGCUGCGGAGUUGGAACAGGCUGCAGCAGCCCUGGACCACUGGCUGCAUUUUAAAAUGCAGGCUUCUCUGUGGCUUCCUUCAGCAGCAGCAAGUGCUUGGAAGCCCCACAAGAGAUUUUGAAAGGAGGGUGGAACAAUCAUGUGAUACCAUAAUAAUGUCAUGUGCGUGGCAGGUGGGUUGCUCUCCCUACUUGUCAAAGCUAGCAUGUGGGGUGGGACCCAGAACACUUGCCCACUCUUGGCGUAAGGGGUUAAUGGGGGAGGUAUGGAGAUGUUGGGGGGGCCAUAGGUGGGAUUGGCAAGCAUCUUUAUAUAGGCGGCUGCUUCAUCAGCAGGAGAGCAAAUCUACAGGAUGACCACGCAGUUUUUGUCCUGUUAGAUCUCUGCCUUCAGGUUAGAGAGUGUUUGUGCUGAUUGCAGUGAGUGGUACUGCUUGAAUGCUAGUUGAGUGGAUAUAGCUGGAGUGUAGAUGCAGAAUCUGAUGUGUGCAGAUUCACACAUCAGCUGUGGCAGGGUAUCCCCAAAGCCUUAUGAGGAAUGGUUGAGGGAGUUGGGUAUGUUUAGCCUGGAGAAGUGAAGAUUGAGAGGUGAUAUGAUACCCAUCUUCAAAUAUCUGAAGGGCUGUUGCAUGGAAGAUGGAACAAACUUGUUUUCUGCUGCUCCCGGGGGUAGGACCCAAAGCAGUGGAUUCAAAUUACAGGAAGGGAGAUUCUGUCUAAACAUGAGAAAGAACUUUCUGGUGGUAAGAGCUAUUCAAUUGUGGAAUUGACUACCUCAGAGGUUGGAUGGUCAAGGAUAUGUUAAGGGUUUCUCAGCUAUGAUCCCUGCAUUGCAGGGGGUUGGACUAGAUGACACUAAGGGUUCCUUCGAACUCUACAAUUCUAUGAUUCUAGGAUACUGAAAAUGAGAAUGUGGAAAGCAGGCCUGUGAAAGCCAGGAAGAGGAGAAACUUGGUUUGGUGGGUUCCCUCUGAGUGAGAGACAGCAUAAGGAGAGUUGUUAUGAAGUUACUACCUUCCAUCUGAAAGUGUGGGAUGUGCCCACUACUGGACCUUUGUUUAUCUGUGGCCUUAAUUGCCCAGCUGUAUAGUAUGACAUUGGAUUAUGGUGCCAGGAUGUGUCUGGAUGGGCAGGUAGGAAGGAGUUGUGAAUAUGUUCCCCCACUUUCAGUGGUGAUGGGCGGGGGAAAGUAUAGCUGGAGUUGUGUGGCUAACUGGGAAUGUAACUGGUCUAUCAACUGCCCUGUAGCCCAGUGGCAGAGCCCCAUGGGACUGUUUUAAAUGGUAGUUGGUCCAACACAUCAGGCAGGGCACAAUCUUGAUGUUGUCUUUAGCCCAAGUGAUAUGAGGGAUAGAUCAAACUUUUUUUGGUGGUGGUGGGGGUGCAAUUCAGUCCCUUGUCAACAUUAGUAGUAAUUAGUAGUAAAGUAGGCCUAUUUGGAUGGCCCACUCUCCGAGACUAAAGGAACUUGAGGAGCUCCUGAAUUCUUGAGGAAUUCCUAAACAGUCUGAACAAUCCUGUUGAUGCUUCACUAUGGAGUAGUGAGAUGAAAUGAGUGGUUGACAUAUUCGCUCCUGAGCAUCCUCUAUGGCGUUGUGGAGCUAGGGCAGCUCCUUGGUAUUCUAGAGAGCUUCGGGCUAUGAAGCAAGCAGAAUGAAGACACAAGUCUCACUCUGAAGCUGACUGAACGCUGGUUAGUGCAGUAACUGUGCCAACCAUGUGGCAGUGCAUGCAAGUUGCAAAGAAGGCUCAUUCACAGCUUGCAUUGCAUUCUCUAGUCACUGGCCAGUGGAAUUAUUUCAAACAUUCUGAAGGUUACUGACUUCCACAGAGGGGGAAGGACCUCUGGAGCAUUAGAGGACCUACUGUGACCAACUGGCUAUAUAUUUUGAGGAUAAAGUCACUUGACUUCAGAGUGACCUUAAUUCUGCGGUUAUUGCAGUUCUAGAUGAAAUACCCAAUGCCAUAGUCAAUGAUGUGUUGUGAGAUCAGUUUCAGCUGAUGCAGUUUGCUGAUGUAGAUAAGGUCCUGGCUGUAUGCCUGACCAUGUAUCCUCUUGAUCCCUGUCCCUCCUGGCUUAUUAAAGCUAGCAGAGGGGGUUUGACUGUUUGGGGCCAGAGUGUGGUUGGCACUGAAGUCCGUAAGGGGAUGGUGUCUACUCCCUUGAAAGAGGCUGUGGUGCAACCUCUCCUGAGGAAACCAGGCCUGAACCCCUUGGACUAGAAUAUCAACCAGUUGCAACUACCUUUAUUGGGGAAGGUGGUGAAGAGAAUUCUGGUAGGGCAGCUGCAAGCAUUAUUGGAUGUCAUGGAUUAUUUAGGUCUGUUUCAGUCUGGGUUCAGGCCUGGCCAUGGGAUUGCGUCUUGGUUGCCCUGAUGGAUAAUCUUUUCAAAGAGUGGGACAAGGGGAGUGCAACUUUGCUUUCUCUUCUUGCUCUGUUUGCAACUUUCAGUAUCAUUGACAAUGGUAUCCUACUGGACUGACACUGUCAAAUGGGAAUUGGAGGGCACUGUAUUCCAAUGGUUCCUGUCCUACCUACAGGACAAUGCUUUUAGGGAGAGUGCUUUGUGGUCCUUUGCACUUACAUGAAGCAGGAUGACACUAUUCUUUCCCCAGUGAUAUUUAAUAUUUACAUGAACCUGCUUGGAGUGAUCAUUAGGAGUUUGUGGGCAAUGAGUUAUCAGUAUCCUAAUGACACUUCACUCUAUUUCUCCAUCACACCUGCAUCAGGGCAGGUGGUGCGGGCCCUGGACUGGUGCCUGGAUCCAGUGGUAGGAUGGGUGAAGGAAAAUAUGUUAAGCUUGAAUCCUGGCAUGACAGAAAUACCGUGGAUGAGCGAUUCUUUAGUCCAAGCAAUUAGUCAACUGAUUUCCCUGGAUGCGCUCUCUCUGAAGGAGCAGUUUGGGGGUGCUUCUGGAACCUGUUCUGCCAGUGGAUGCCCAGGUAGCCUCAUUUGCUAGAAGUGCCCUUUACUUCAUGCAACUAGGGUGACACCAACAGCCAGUCCUGAACCAGGAUAGCUUGGCCACAGUAGUUCAAGCAUUGGUGACUUCAAGAUGGGAUUACUGCAGUGCACUGCAAUUCAGUCUUUGUGGGGCUUCCCAUGCACUUGAACCAGAAGCCGCAAUUAGUUACUGCACCGUUACUGACAGGAAUGAAACCCUGUCUGCAUAUACUGCAUGUACACCCUUGCUUGGAGUUCUGCACCAGUUGCCCAUUUGCUACCAGGCCAAGUUCAAGGAAUUACUAUUAGAAUAUAAACCCUUAACAGCUUGGGGCCAUUUUACUUGCAAGAUCACUUUACUCCAUAUAUGCUCCCUCAACUGCUUUGAUCUGCAGAACUGACAGCGUUAAUGGUGCCACAUAAUACUUGUUCAAUACUUACAAGAAAUUGUUCUUCCUGUGUAGCAGCACCUAUACUUUGGAACUCCCUGCCUGCUUAACAUCAGGCAGGUACCUUCGCUGUAAUUUUCACCACCUGCUUAAAACAUUUUUGUUUCGGCAAUCCUAUUCAGACAUGUAGAAGCUACAUAAGCAUCUUCUCUUUUUUUGCUAGUGUUGAUUAUGAUAGUCUUCUACAUGUUUUUAAAUACCUAUUUUAACUGUUCUUAUACUGAGGUUUAAUGCUUUAUUUUAUACUUAUGUAAACCACUUAGAGGCCAGUAAAGCGAGAUGAGCGCCGCAACCCCAGCGUCGUCCGCAACUCAAUAGUCAGGGGUCCCUUUACCUUUAAACCACUUAGAGGUUUUCUUACAGGCAAGCAGUAUUUAAAAUUUGUUAAAUAAAUAGAAUAAAUCUCUAUCCCCAUGCCCAGAAUACAUUCUGGAUUGUCCUGUCAUCUCAGU